GUGCGAUCUUCUCAGAAAUCUUUCAUUAAAGUUUCCCUGAACAAUUCAGGCUGGAGCAGAGAAGUCAUUAGUUGCAUCAGUGGAAGUCUGAGAAAACAAUCAGAGAGUGUGAACAGGGUCUGUAGAUUACCAGAAAGAUCACCCUGUGCCUCACAAUAUAAUGCAGGUAUUUUCUGUGUGGGCAGUUCAUGUCUUCUAAAAGCAUAUCAAUUUUAUAUGCAACAUGUACUUCAAUUCUGAUCUUUUUUCUUCCAGAUUUUGCUGGUGUUUGUCUUGAAUGUUUCAUCAUCACAACCCUACUGCUGAUCUCUUUAAGCUGGGUCAUGCAACACUCCCAAAUCAAAUGUUCUCUGCCUUUGGACUUUGGUAGGGAGAACCUAGAAAAUGCACACAGGGCACAAAACAGAGGCAACUGUUUACUUUGCAAGCACCAUACAAAUGAAGGGCUGAGACACAAACCUAUUUAGCGGGCUGUUAAUGUCUAAGUCAAAAACCUAAAACUUAAACAGAAACAUAAUUCACUUUCUGCUUGCAGGUUAUUAUAUGUAGCUAUGUUCCACUGAUGGGUUUGUUCUACGUUUUUCACUGGAUGGAGCACUUUCACCAAAACCAACAGUGAAUUUUCUUACAGCUUUCAGUUUAUCUUCCCUUUACCCCAACAAAUAUAUUGUACCAUCAGUGCAAAAAUUGUGGUGCAUCAUAUACUGGAUAACUUGCAGGAAUAGAACAAAACAAACGCAUUUAACAUCUUGAUAUGGAACUACCUUCCUCUCCUCCACAUCUGCUUAUUUAAAAGGUUUUGAUAGACCGAUUUCCUUUGAUGCUUCCACAGUCCCACACAAUACACAUACACCUUUCUGCAGGGUACCUUCAGACCUCAGAGCACGCCAUUUUGUCAGUCACAAGUGAUCAGUGUGACUCUUUUCCAAGUAAAACUAAAACUGCAGUUCUCACAUAGUGCAUUAAGCAUGAACGGAGCUCAGGCUCUAUUACAGAUUAACCUCGGCUCUGUGUGAGAAGAUGCUAAUGUGAAUGAGAGCUAUUUGUUCAGAAUGCAAUAAUUCAGAUCCAGGAUUCCUGACAGGCUUUUUUGGUACAUCAGGUUUAACAAAUUAGCACAUCCCCAUCCUCCUCACCCCCAAAAAAUCACAAAUGAGAAAGUAAGGUGAAGGCCAUGACAGUUUAUUUGGGAAAACUGUACCUGUCUGAUAAUGUUGUAUACAUAUCACAGCUUAAUAUCCCCAUGGACAUGUACAUUUCGUUAAUACUAACCUCCUAGAAUACUUCAACUGGACCAAGAUCAAUUUCUGAUCAGGUCUUAAUACCAUCACACAUAAUUACUUUGAUUGUAGUCUGAUCUAAUUACUGCAAAAUCAUUUAACAAAACAGUAUCUGGCUUAACCAACCAUAAGCCAUGUAACAGCUCAAACCUGGCUCAUUGAUGGUUCAGGUAAUUAAAUGACUCAG
rnacentral:lncRNA from 1 species